rnacentral:rRNA from 1 species
GUGGGGAAUAUUCCGCAAUGGACGAAAGUCUGACGGAGCAACGCCGCGUGAGUGAUGAAGGUUUUCGGACUGUAAAGCUCUGUUGUUUAGGACGAAAGUGCCUGUUGCGAACAGUUACAGGUAUUGACGGUACUAAACGAGGAAGCAACGGCUAACUACGUGCCAGCAGCCGCGGUAAUACGUAGGUGGCAAGCGUUGUCCGGAAUUAUUGGGCGUAAAGAGCAUGCAGGCGGAGAUCUAAGUCUGUUGUGAAAAUGCGGGGCUCAACGCCGUAUUGCGAUGGAAACUGAAUUUCUUGAGUGCAGGAGAGGGAAGGGGAAUUCCCAGUGUAGCGGUGAAAUGCGUAGAUAUUGGGAGGAACACCAGUGGCGAAGGCGACUUUCUGGACGAUGUCUGACGCUGAGGCGCGAAAGCUAGGGGAGCGAACGGGAUUAGAAACCCGGGUAGUCC